AUGGUAGACGCUACGGACUUAAAAUCCGUUGGUUUUUUACAACCGUGAGGGUUCAAAUCCCUCUACCCCCA
rnacentral:tRNA from 1 species